rnacentral:rRNA from 1 species
CCAGAUAGAUCAUAGAUGCUGGAAUGCCCUUUGAUCCAAAGUUCAGGCGCCUAAGGAUGGGUCUGCGGUCUAUCAGGUUGUAGUGGGUGUAAUGUACCUACUAGCCUACGACGGAUACGGGUUGUGAGAGCAAGAGCCCGGAGAUGGAUUCUGAGACACGAAUCCAGGCCCUACGGGGUGCAGCAGGCGCGAAAACUUUACAAUGCACGAAAGUGCGAUAAGGGGACCUCGAGUGUUGGUGCCUAGCAUCAACUGUCCAACUGUCUAAAAAACAGUUAUUAGCAAGAGCCGGGCAAGACCGGUGCCAGCCGCCGCGGUAACACCGGCGGCUCGAGUGGUGACCACUAUUAUUGGGUCUAAAGGGUUCGUAGCCGGCUUAGUAAGUUCCUUGGGAAAUCUGGCGGCUUAACCGUCAGGCUGCCGAGGGAUACUGUUAGGCUUGAGACCGGGAGGGGCUAGAGGUACCUCAGGGGUAGGGGUGAAAUCCUGUGAUCCCUGUGAGACCACCAGUAGCGAAGGCGUCUAGCUAGAACGGGUCUGACGGUGAUGAACGAAAGCUAGGGGCACGAACCGGAUUAGAUACCCGGGUAGUCCUAGCCGUGAACGAUGCGAGCUAGGUGUCACAGUAGCUGCGAGCUACUGUGGUGCCGUAGGGUAGCCAUGAAGCUCGCCACCUGGGAAGUACGGCCGCAAGGCUGAAACUUAAAGGAAUUGGCGGGGGAGC